GGGAGUCAGGGGUUGCGCGGCCUGAAGGAGCAACCGACUGGGUGGAAAUGGCAGACUUUGGGAAGGAUCCCUCUGUCAGCGCAGGAGACAAGGUCAUUCCAGCAUCCAGAAACCUUCGUCAAAAUCUAUCUUUGAGGCAAAUAAAACUCUCGUCCUUCAGAAGUGAUGGACACAGAUUCCAGAAGUCUGAGUUUUGAUGAAGGAAGUUGCUGUGUCAGAGAAACCCACGUGACCAGGAACCAGCGAACUCCCACCCAGGGCCAACAGGGUAUUGAGGACCUCAUGCCAACAGGCUUGAGAGAUGCAUCCUGCCAACAACUGACCCCUGAGCAGGGUCAAAUAAAGGGCCCCAGGAUAAAACUGAGAAGGCCACUGUCAAGCUUCUUACAAGGGACCAGUAUGGAUGUAGAAGCCCAAAGAGAAAAUCGAAGCGCCUGGGUGACUCAGUAGGUGAAGCAUCCGGAGGAUCGAAAGGUCAGAAGAUCAAGUUCUUCAUCGAGCUGUGCACUGAGCAUAGAGCCUGCUUGAGAUUCAGUCUCUCUCUUCCCUCCCCCUACUGUGUGUGCUUUUUCUCUCUCUUAAGUAAAAUAAAAUGUUUUUUAACACACAGUAAUUGUGCAAAAAAAAAAAAAAAAUGUUGAGAAAAUGGAAUCAUAUAUAAUGCUUGCUGAAAACCAGAAACACUAAAUGAAAAUUACACUAAAUGAAAUUUACAAUAAUUUACACUAAACGAAAAUUAAAAUACAACUUAAUCAGGGUGCUUGGGUGGCUCAGGUGGUUAAGUGACUGCCUUCAGCUCAGAUCAUGGGCUCAUGGCUUGUGAGUUUCAGCUCGGAG